GACGAACGCUGGCGGCGUGCCUAAUACAUGCAAGUAGGACGCACAGUUUAUACCGUAGCUUGCUACACCAUAGACUGUGAGUUGCGAACGGGUGAGUAACGCGUAGGUAACCUGCCUAUUAGAGGGGGAUAACUAUUGGAAACGAUAGCUAAUACCGCAUAACAGUAUGUAACACAUGUUAGAUGCUUGAAAGAUGCAAUUGCAUCGCUAGUAGAUGGACCUGCGUUGUAUUAGCUAGUAGGUAGGGUAAUGGCCUACCUAGGCGACGAUACAUAGCCGACCUGAGAGGGUGAUCGGCCACACUGGGACUGAGACACGGCCCAGACUCCUACGGGAGGCAGCAGUAGGGAAUCUUCGGCAAUGGGGGGAACCCUGACCGAGCAACGCCGCGUGAGUGAAGAAGGUUUUCGGAUCGUAAAGCUCUGUUGUUAAGGAAGAACGAGUGUGAGAAUGGAAAGUUCAUACUGUGACGGUACUUAACCAGAAAGGACGGCUAACUAC
rnacentral:rRNA from 1 species